GGGGGUAGCCAAAUGCCUCGUCAUCUA
rnacentral:misc_RNA from 1 species